GACCCAGCCGAAGCGCGCGCACACCAGCGGGGACAGCGCCGCCGGCUUGCCCGCCCACCUCAGGGGGUCUGCCCGUCAAGGAGACACCACAGAUCCAGGUUCCCUGGCAAGGGUCACAGCUCCCAGGGUUCCUGACAAGGGUCACAGCUCCCAGGGUGCCUGACAAGGGUCACAGCUCCCAGGUUCCCUGACAAGGGUCACAGCUCCCAGGGUCCCUGACAAGGGUCACAGCUCCCAGGUUCCCGACAAGGGUCACAGCUCCCAGGGUUCCUGACAAGGGUCACAGCUCCCAGGGUUCCUGACAAGGGUCACAGCUCCCAGGGUCCCUGGCAAGGGUCACAGCUCCCAGGGUUCCUGACAAGGGUCACAGCUCCCAGGUUCCUGACAAGGGUCACAGCUCCCAGGUUCCCUGACAAGGGUCACAGCUCCCAGGUUCCCUGACAAGGGUCACAGCUCCCAGGGUUCCUGACAAGGGUCACAGCUCCCAGGUUCCCUGACAAGGGUCACAGCUCCCAGGGUUCCUGACAAGGGUCACAGCUCCCAGGUUCCCUGACAAGGGUCACAGCUCCCAGGGUUCCUGACAAGGGUCACAGCUCCCAGGGUCCCUGACAAGGGUCACAGCUCCCAGGGUUCCUGACAAGGGUCACAGCUCCCAGGGUUCCUGACAAGCGUCACAGCUCCCAGGGUUUCUGGGAUGGGGAAACAUUCCCAGGGAGGGAGAGCUUGGGGCGGGUGGGACAGGGACAGGGAGCAGGGCAGGAACGCAGGGAACUGUGGGAGCUGGCCUGGGGGAGUUUAGGAGAAGGCUGGAUUUAGGAAAAGGCUGGAUUUAGGAAAAGGCUGGAUUUAGGAAAAAGGCCGGAUUUAGGAAAAGCGGAUUUAGGAAAAAGGCCGGAUUUAGGAAAAGGUUAGAUUUAGGAAAAGCUUGGAUUUAGGAAAAGGCUGGAUUUAGGAAAAAGGCUGGAUUUAGGAAGAGGCUGGAUUUAGGAAGAGGCUGGAUUUGAGGAAGAGGAUGGAUUUAGGAAGAGGCUGGAUUUAGGAAGAGGCUGGAUUUAGGAAGAGGCUGGAUUUAGGAAGAGGCUGGAUUUAGGAAGAGGCUGGAUUUCAGGAAAAGGUUUGGUUUAGGCAAAGGCUGGAUUUCAGGGAAAGGCUGGAUUUCAAAAAAAGUUGCAUUUCAGGGAAAGGCAUGAUUUGAGGAAGAGGCUGGAUUUGAGGAAGAGGCUGGAUUUAGGAAAAGUUUGGAUUAUUUAGGAAAAGCUUAUAGAAAAAUUUGAAAUUUUAGGAAAAGGCUGGAUUUCAGGAAAAGGCAGGAUUUAGAAAAAAGCUGGAUUUUAGGAAAGGCUCUUCCCCAGAGGGUGCUGGGGCACUGAGUCUUCCCCAGGGAAUGGUCACAGCUCCAAGGCUCCAGGAGCCUUUGGACAGCUCUCAGGGACAGGGAGGAAUUUUGGGAUAACCCUGCACGGCCAGGAAUUGAAUCAAUGAUUCCACUGGCUCUUCACCCACAAUUCCAAGCUGGAAUUCCCAGCAUCCCAAAGGAUAUGGUGAAU